UCCUUGGUGGUCCAGCAGCUAAGACUCCAAGUUUUCAAUUCAGUGGGGCCGGGUUCGAUUCCUGGUCAGGGAA
rnacentral:tRNA from 1 species